rnacentral:rRNA from 1 species
UACGAAGGGGGCUAGCGUUGUUCGGAAUCACUGGGCGUAAAGCGCACGUAGGCGGAUCUUUAAGUCAGAGGUGAAAUCCCAAGGCUCAACCUUGGAACUGCCUUUGAUACUGGGGAUCUUGAGUCCGGGAGAGGUGAGUGGAACUGCGAGUGUAGAGGUGAAAUUCGUAGAUAUUCGCAAGAACACCAGUGGCGAAGGCGGCUCACUGGCCCGGUACUGACGCUGAGGUGCGAAAGCGUGGGGAGCAAACAGGGAU